rnacentral:lncRNA from 1 species
AUUCGGUACCCAAAUGAUCUUCAAAUUUGAUGAAACUUUAUAUGAAUGAUCUACACACUGUGCUUUAGACAUUGUACGGUUGAGAUGUGGAAAUACGACCUGAAAGUGAGCGAAAUAAGAAGUCCCACACUUUAAUUUCAAAGCGGGAUCCCACUCUAGAAAGGGACUAUACAUAUAUAUAUAUAUAUAUUAAUAUAUAUGAAAACCAAGUAAUCAAUGAUAUAAUUGAGUUAUAUAAUUGUAAUACCCUAGAUUUUCAUAUCAAUUUUCCUUGUAUUAUUUCCUUAUUUAAUGAAGGAUUAUUUAUGGAAAUUCUUUGGUUUCUGCGAAGUUGAAGUUUUGGGAGUUUAUUUAAGUGCUUUGACUUUUGAGAGGCCAAAAGUUGACUUUAUUUUCCGUAAGUUAUCUUCGAAAACUUCCUUUACGAAAGUUGUAGAGUUUGUUGAUACGAGUUUGUAUACAUGCGGCACGUCUGAAACGGAUGUCGUAUGAAGAAGUUAUGUUCAGAGGAAGUUUGUUUUCGGGUUUGAAAAGAGUAUAAGUAAAAAAAUGUGUGUGGGAUUAAUUAGAACCCUAAAACCAGUUCCCCUCUUCUCUCUCUCUCUCCUCCCACCCGAGCUCCCCGAGCCUUCACCUUCUUCAGCCGAGUUCUUCCUCCUCUGGCCACCAAACCGGACGCCACCGGUCCCAUUCGACUCCCAUAGCAGCCCUCUUCAUUUCUGGAGCAGUCCCGCCGGCUGUUCUGUCGCCACGAAGUGGCGGAGCUGCUGCUGUCUCGCCGGAAAACCGGUGAUUUCGACGCCGUUUUCGGCCAAGUUUAGGUGAGUCUUGAUCCCUUCUUCCUUCUAGUAGUGUCUAGGCAUAGUUGAAGCAAGUUUUUGAGGCCGGUUUUGCAGGUUUUGUAGUGUGAUUUGCUGGUUACCUUUCGGGGCAGUUUCCGGCCGGUUCCGGCCAAAAUUGGUUGAAGCCUCAGGUAUGAAAGUUGCUCCCCUUACUGCAAGCUUCAACUUUGCUGUUGAGAGUUUUCUCUAAUUCGGAAGUCCAUGGAGGCGUGUGGGGCCCACUCGCCGCCGCCUGUGACGGCGCGUGGCAGCGCGUCCGGUAGGAUUGUGGCUUAGGUUGCUAUGUUUUGGCUAGCUCUUGUUGUGGUGAGCUUAUUGAGAUGUAGAAUUCCUAAGUUGUGAGCUUUGUUCGUAUGAUAGGAUUUUAAGUUUGUUAUUAGGUUUGGUUGAGGGUUGAGUUAGGAUUUGAGGAUUAGAGGAAGCCAUUUUGGGUCUCUAAGUUCGACAACCUUGAAAAGUUGACAUCACUUGAACUAAGGGUUAGUUAAGGGGUAUUGUGAUAACCUAUAGUAUUUUAUUACUAAGGAUUUAUUUGUGUGAUUUUAGGUGAUUUGUGAUUUUGUGAUUGGCUUGCCUUCGUUGUGUUGGGGGUUUUGCAGCGGGAUUUCUAGGUGAGUAAAUCUCACCAAGGUUCACUUUUGAACCAAAUUUAAUUAUGGUCAUGUGAUGAUGAUAAUGAUGAUGAUGUUGGAUUUAAUAUUAUGCUUUUAAUUGUUUUUAAAAAUAUAUGAGUUUGAUCACCAACGGCUCAAAGGUAAGGUAAAACAAGUUUUCUUUAUGUGCUAUUUUGAGAUUCAUGUGAUCAUGAGUUUAUUGAUUAUUUAUAGAUUAUUCUUGUGGAAUAUCUAUAUUUUGUUCAGGUAAAUAUUUCCAUAUGAAAGAAUAGAAUUAAUGAUGUGAUAUUGUGUUGUUGAGAAUAAUAAUGUGAUAUUGUGUGGUUGAGAAUAAUGAUGUGAUAUUGUGUUGUUGAGGUUAAUGUUGUGAUAUUCUGAUUUUUUGAUAAAUAGCCAAACCGGGUUCCAAGUCCUUAAUUGGGUGAUUGGUUGCGGUUAAGUUGCUAUUUAUCAUUUUUGUGUUUGAUAUUAGACAGUCAAACUGGGUUCCAAGCCUUUGGCCGGGUGAUUGGUUGCGGUUAGGAAUAGAGCUCUAGUCCGUCUGUCAGUGUAGGUCAUGGGAGAUACUGUAUGGUAUCUGGGACCCAUGGGUACACAUAGUGUUGUUGUAGGUCAUGAGGGGUAUUUUAUUAAAUAUCUAGGACUCAUGGGUACUUUUCUUAGGUAAUGUGUUGGAUGUGUGUUUUUCUUUAAUUAUGGAUCCAAUUUCUCUUGUGGAAUAUUGGAUGUGAUAAAUGUUAUGUUAUUUUUGAGUUUACUCAUACGAACUUUUUAGCUUACCGGGUUUGUUGUUUACAACCCGGUGCACCAAUUCUUGGUGUAGGGGUUAAACCUGCAGGUGAGGAUCAGCAGGGUUGAGAUGGAGGCUUAGUGACAGGGUUUUUUGUUGGGUUUUAGUUGUUCAUUGUAUAUAUUUAUUUUUUUAUAUAUACAUUGGGAUAGUCAAUAAUAAACUCAUGUGAGCGUCUCAUUUUCUUGACUCUCGAGUUUAUGUAAACAAGGAAAUGUAAUAUUUAACUCAAUAUGGAGUUGUGUGUAAAUUUUACUUUCCGCAUUGAGUUUAGUUUCAUUGAAAUUUUGUUGAAACAGGUUUUGAGAUUAUAUUAUUUUAAGGGAUAUUAUGCCAAAAUUUUUGAAAAUUUCCUUUCGAAAAUUGGGGUGUGACAAUAAUAUUAGUUAUUACACAAAUUAAUAUAUCAUUGAGUUAUCGUAUCGAUAUGAUUAUAUAUUCAUUGACAUUGAUAUUUGAAUGUUUUUACUGAUGCAGCGUCGGACAAUUGCAAACAAGAACAAUCAUUUGAAGAAACAAAUGAGUCACAACACAAGAACAAGAAUGUUUGCUCAAGUGAG